rnacentral:rRNA from 1 species
AACGAACGCUGGCGGCGCGCUUAACACAUGCAAGUCGAACGAGAAGGCGUAGCAAUACGCUUGUACAGUGGCGAACGGGUGAGUAAUACGUGGGCGACCUACCCUCGAGUGGGGAAUAACCCGCCGAAAGGCGGGCUAAUGCCGCGUACGCUUCCAUCUUUAUGGAGGUGGAAGGAAAGCCGUGCCGUGGGCACGGCGCUCAAGGAUGGGCUCACGUCCUAUCAGCUUGUUGGAGGGUAACGGCCUACCAAGGCUCCGACGGGUAGCUGGUCUGAGAGGACGAUCAGCCACACUGGCACUGCGACACGGGCCAGACUCCUACGGGAGGCAGCAGUGAGGAAUAUUGCGCAAUGGGCGAAAGCCUGACGCAGCGACGCCGCGUGGGGGAUGAAGGUCUUCGGAUUGUAAACCCCUUUCGGGAGGGAAGAUGGGACGGGCGACCGUUCGGACGGUACCUCCAGAAGCAGCCACGGCUAACUUCGUGCCAGCA